UACGGAGGGUGCAAGCGUUAUCCGGAUUCACUGGGUUUAAAGGGAGCGUAGGAGGGCAGGUAAGUCAGUGGUGAAAUCUUCGAGCUUAACUCGGAAACUGCCGUUGAUACUAUCUGUCUUGAAUACCGUGGAGAUGAGCGGAAUAUGUCAUGUAGCGGUGAAAUGCUUAGAUAUGACAUAGAACACCAAUUGCGAAGGCAGCUCGUUACACGAAUAUUGACUCUGAGGCUCGAAAGUGUGGGGAUCAAACAGG
rnacentral:rRNA from 1 species